AUGCAGUCCAUGUGUCCGCGCCCGGCCUGGCUGCACGCUCGUCUGCGUGAGAGCGCUCUGUUUCACUUCAUGCAAAACAUUGUAAUGAAGAACAUCUUUUUAAGAAGCUGCAAGAACUCCGCGGGAGUCUUCGAUCCGCUGACCCGCCCGCUGCCCUUCCCCGCGGAGCCCGGCCUCGUCAGCGAUCUGCGCCUCCCCGAAGCCUUGAAAUGACACACGGGUUUCCAAUAGACGCUCAGAGGGCACUCGGCACUGACCAGCUCCGUGAGGAUCGUCCCGGGAGAUUUCCCAACAGCAGCAGUAAAUACAAGUCCUUGGAAGUGGAUUUUUCCGUCUAAGACAGAGGCUGGGUCACAUAUCACAUCUCGUUGAGCGGCUGGGUUAUCUGACUUACAUAAAAAACCCUCGGAGUCGCCGUCGCUCUGUGGCAAGUCUCUUGGCUCCUCUGAA
rnacentral:lncRNA from 1 species